UCUUUAUUAGAUAUUUGGUACUUUGUGCAUAAUUGUUUGAUAUAUUAUUGUGAUAGUAUGCGUAGCUUACCUUGAAUCUAUGUUUGGUUGAUUCUUGAUAUUGAUAACUAUCCUUCUUGCUCUUAUGUGUUAUUCAUGGUAUAUCUAUGCAGCCUUAUUGUGGUUAUGUUUGAUUGUUGGUACUCGUACGAUACCUUUAGACUGUGAUAUAACUAGUGGUGUAUACCCUAUUGAUGUUAGUUUCUUGUUCGUAUUGGUUGGGUACUUGUAGACUUUGACUACCCACGGGACCAUUCGUGAUAGCGUGUUCGGCCAUAGUCCGUAGCUAGAUAGCUACAUGCCCUGUCUACCCAUGGGACCAUUCGUAGUAUAGUGUUCUCCCACAGGCAGUGGCCACUAGUCUGCCCACAGGACCAUCCGUGGUAGAGUGUUCUCUCGCAGACAAUGAUGUCUUACAUACCCUAGCUAACAGUUCGGCUGCAGUCAAUAGUUGUUGUAUAAGUAUGUGCAAUAUUUGAUUGCUCAGGUUGGUAAAAUCCAGGGUUAAUAUUUUCCUCUUGUUGGUGCUAGUAUGUGAAGACACUGAAACUACUCCCUUGGUUCUUGUUAUUUUUUUUUCAUGCACUUUAUGUGAUCUAUCCACUAAGUAUCUUAUACUCACUACCCAUUUGUUUUCUUAUGUUUCAAGUAGAAAAUAAAGUCUUGUCGCAUGGAGAUCCUGGUUGCUGGUCCCAUGUUAGAGAUGUCUCGUAUUCAAUCUUAUGUUGUCGUGGGGGCAUUUUGUCUUUUUAGUAUUUGAAGUUUACUAGGGGUUGGUUUUUCAUAUAGUUUCUCUAUUUGUUUAUUUCUGAGUGUGUGAUUUUUUGUUAGACAUGCGCGCAUGCAAACAUUUUUCUAUGUACAUAUUUUAUGUUGGUAUGGUUAUUGUCAUCUAUGGCGUUUUGUUUCAGCCUCGUGGGUUGUUUAAUAUAUUUGUGGUUAUGUAUUCAGGGUGAAAUUGCCAUUGUUACAGAGGAGGUGCUGUCUGAUUUCUGUCGGACAACCUUACCCUCGGGGUGUGACAUAACUUCUAGAAAUAUAGGGAUUAAAACCUCUCCCUACUUGGAUGACUAGCAUGUGAACUGAGCUUCGGUGGAGAUUUGUUGUGUGAGUGUAUUCGAUCGAACAGGCGUGGUCGAUCGACGUCCCUUGAGUCGCUGGCGGUGAAUCAAAGGCUAGUUAGUAGUAGUGGACUCGGAGGGGAUCACCAUGGGCAUCACUUUCCAUGACUCACCUGGAUUUCUCUCCACUGGUUGGAUCCUCAUCCCAGUCGAUUGGCAUAAGCCCAUGGCUUUCCAUCUUGGCCUCACCUUGCACGUCCGUCUCCUCAUCAUCCAUUUUUGUGGAGUUAUUCAAUAAAGCUUUUCACAUGGUUUUAACUAUAAAACAAAAAAUGAAAUCAAUUAUAUUUAACAGCGAAAGGAAGUUGAAUUCCUUACGGAAGCUAUCAGGCAAUUAGACUCAGAUGGGACUCAGUCCAAACAUGUACAGUACGCCUUUAGUCAACAGCUUAUGAAUGUAGUAUUUCAGAUUGGAUAGCUGUCGGACACCGUGAGGUAGACUAGCUCUCACCGAUACACACCCAGCUCGAGAGGGUUGAUAUUUCAGAUUGGAUAGUUGAUCAAACGCCGGAGGUCACUGGAAGGACGGGUCGGAGAUAGAAGUAAUGAGAUUUCCAUCCUUUAUUGGAUGAAGGUAUCUUAUCAAAAAAUACCGCACCCACUCAGGCCUAGAAGAUGAAGACACUCGGCUCAAACUUUUUCAGGUAAUAAAAGUAGUGGAAGACUCGGGAUGCAAUGGGACUUGAUAUAGACGAAACAGUACAAUAACUCCACACAUUAACCUAAUGGAAUUAGGUGCUAGUUGUUGCAAGGGGAUAUGAAAUUAAGCACAAACUUCUAAGAAAAAAGGGUGCAAGGGAAAAUGAAGGUCGACAAAGAAUUGGUCUUUAAAGAAAAUAAGAUAGUCGGCCGAAAGAAGAUUGGAGUAGUCGUGGCCAGACGGGAUGAUGAUGCUAUUGUUGGGAGGGAUGUGAUAGGUGAGAUGUAUUUGGUCCACCUCCUCGACAUUGAAGUCAGAGGUGGUGAAGGUGUACCAGAGCCCAUGAAUAGUGAUAGGGGGAGCAGAAGCCAUGGAAGAGGAAGAAAGUUGAACGAAGGAUGAAAAAAAAUGAACUUAUGAUGAGAACGGAAAGUUUGGAGAAUUGUCAGCAACAACAGAAAGGAGAGGAUGAAGAAGAAGAUGAUUGAGAAAACUUUGAAAAGGGUGAACCUUAAAACUCUAGUGAUGACCGCUCACAACUGUAUGAUCAAGGGGAUGGAGGAAAGAGGCUCAAUCCAGAUCAUUGAAUUUGAACUACCAACAGUCACAUCAAAUCUCAACAGUCACCUGUCAUAUCGGAUAUUCCUCAUCAUAGGCAUGUGAUGCAUGAUAAACAAGACACAGGCUGCAUUUAUAAGGGAUGAGAGACAAUAAACAAGCUUAUGAUAAAAAAAUGCAUACUCAUCAUAUCAAGCAUUAAUUAGUAAAUGAUUUGCUUUGUUUCCUAGGGGCCAAAGUGAUGUCAGCUCAAGCCGAGCAAAGAUACAAAGAAUGAGCAUCUGAUCAGGAAAUAAGGGAUGCGGGAAGCACCAACAACUAAGUAUAACAUCAACUAGUGUCAGGAGUUAAACAAAGAGUGGACGUCCGAUCAAAGCACAAGGAACACAAACAAGAGAAGUAUCUAGUCAGUCGGACCUGCAGUUUCCUUUGACUAAACUUGAAAGGGAGGUUUGUGAUACAGCGGAUAAGGUAAGACCCUCGAGUCAGGUCAAAGUCCAGGAGACCGGCUGACAUUGUGGUCAAAGUCAAGGAGGAGUCAGCACUCGGACCAGCGUAGUCGAUCGUCUAGGCCAAGAGGUUAUCCGACUGGACCUUUGUCCUGGUUAGACAUCGAGCCCCUCAGUAUUGAUGAAACUCUAAGUCAAGUUAGUACCAUCCAGAGCCAGGUCCUCUUCAUCACCCAAGGAUAACAUAGUUAACUAUUUUUAGCAAAGUAAUCUAGCCGGUCGGACCAAUGGUCUGAUCUAACAAACUAGACACUUGGUCCAACCGUUACGACUGAGCGAAGGAUGAGUCCCCGACAAUAUUCCUCAAAUCCGACCUGGUCAUUCUUGAGAGUAAUAGCCGAUUAGAUUAUGGAAGAGCUUUGUUGGUUUAACAACUAAAUAUAUUAAGGACCCCUCAAUCCAACGACCUUACAUUCUUUUUUGAUGAUUUGUACUACGGAUAAUAGAGAAUAUUUCAUUUGCAAGUUGUACUCUAGAAACUUCCACUCUGCCUAUUUUAAGAAAAGUGUUAGAGCAUCUUUAUAAUCUGUCCUAUUUUACAAACGCUUUGAGAUUCGUGUAUAGAUAAACAGUAACACUAUAAAAGGGGAUUUCCAUCCGCAGGCACAUGCACGCUUACAUUAUGCAAACAAUAUAUACAAGCUACAUUAUGCAUCCACUAUUCAUCUGUUGUUUACGGCUUCAAUUGGUCACUGACUUGAGCGUUAGAAUGUCUGUGCCAAGGACUCCUCCCUAACCCGGUUGUUGACGUUCUUUUUGACACGCAGGGCUACUCAGAGUCAUUUUUUACUGGCUUUGAGUCUUUACACGAUCAACAUCAAAACCAUCUACCCAGCGCAUCAUCUUCUUCGCUUUCAGACAAUAUUAGAGACUAAGCAAUUGCCCAUCCAAAUCAACGCUAGCUACAAAGUCUUUCUAGUGGUGUCUGCUGCCUGAGUGUAGAGUACUAGACGGAGUGUUUAUAGUCGAGCGAGGAGGCAAUGUGAAUUAGAUCGGAAGUGCAGAAGUUAUCUUUUGAUGGCCUAUAGACGUGGAGGCAAACCAAAAAAGUAAAUUGCAUCGGAUAAAAAAUAGAGACUAAAUGCUAUGCCGAAUUCAAAAACUGAGGAAAGUUUUCAUGGAAUUUUUCGUUAUUUAUUCCAUAAGAAAGGAUAUGGAUUAUUAAUUCUUUUUGUCGUUUACUUCGCAUGGAAUAAUACACGAAUGGAUUCAUAAAUCUAUCAGCAAAUUCAUUUGUUACCGAUUUUUUAUCCACCAAAAAAUGGACAAAACACCUUUCCUUCCCGUCGCGUGCGUCACUGUCCUCAGCCACGCGAGCCUUCAAUUGCUCCGAUGGCUCUGGACAAUUAGUCCAACAUGGCCACUUACGCUUGUUGCUAGUGGCGGGUGUCCAUGCACGUCCCCUCGCAAGCAGUUGGUGUCCAUGUAUGACCUCUCGCAAGUGUCCACACACGAUCGCUCGCGAGUGGCAGGUGUGCACACAUGACUGCUAGCGAGCAACGGACGUCGUUGCAUGGCCGCUCGUGAGCGGUGAGCGUCCUUGCACGCGACGAUCCCGAGCGACGGGUGUCACGCAAGCAAUGACAACGAGCAUCAACAGCGAGCAGUGGGCAAUGAGCGUCCUUACACAACCACUCAAAACGAUCACGGGUGAUGGGCGUCACACAAGCAGCGACGAUGAGCAUCCACAACGACAACAAGCAUGAGCGGCGAGCACCCACACAUGACCUCUCGUGAGCAGUAGGUGGCUCACAACUCUCGUGCGUCCAUGCAUGGCCGCUCUUGAGCGACGGACAUCUCGCAAGUGUCCAUGCAUGACCGCUCAUGAUUAUCACGAAUGGCGGGGCUGCCCUCUGCCCUCUGCCCUCUUCCCCUAUCUUCUCUUUUUUCCUUAAGGAUUCUUUUCUCUUUCCUUUCUUUCUUUUCCCUUUAUCAGGAUAUUUUCCCACAGUAAAAUCCUUUCCCUCACUCAUCCGCUCCUUCAAGUAAAGAGAGCCUAAAAAAAACUAGAGGCGAACCAAAAAAAAAAAUAUUGUAUGGAAGAUAGAUACUAAAGAAAACUUGAGAAAUAAAAGCUUAGGGUUCCAAUGUUAUGACCAUACGAAUUGAAAUCAUCAUAGCCACUGGGCAAAAAGUUUCUUCGUAAUACGAGAAAAUCCUUGAGCAAGUAACCUUGCUUUAUAUCUAUCCACACUACCAUCAUCUUUUCUCUUGAUUUUGUACACCCACUAACAAAGAAUAGGAAUGACAAUUUCAACCCCGAACCCAAUGGAAGAUUCGAUAUCUGAUCCGAAUGGAAGAGAGUUUGGAGGGACUAUCAAUACCUGAUAUUCAACCUGAAUACCUGAUUAAAUAAUAUAUACACAUAUAUUAAAGAAAAUUUUCUUUUCCAAAAUUCACUGACUCUUUUUUGAUAUUAGGAGAAGACUAUAUAGAUGUUUAAUUUAUUUUUUAAAUUAUGUAUACAUAUUUUAAUAGGAUGUUAAUUUUAAUAUAUUUUUGUUAAAUGAUAAUAGUUGGAUAGAAAGAAGAAAAAUUAUAAGUAUAGAAGAUAUUCAAUCCUUUAAUAGGUAUGAGUAUACUCAUCGAAUAUCCUAUACUCAAUGGGUAUGAGGACGGAGAAUAUAAAAUAUGAUCCGAACUUGGCCUAUUACUCUCUCUAACAAAGAAUCUAUAGCAAGCUCACAUCACUUAUUUCCUUUUGCUUCUUCAACUAUAGAAGGUUUUUUUAUUAUCAAUUGGACAUAUAAAGAAACAAGAAUAUCUCCUAAUUAAAUUUUCAUCUAUAUAAUGAGUUGGCUUAAGAAUGAUUCUCUUUGGCUUUUGCAAAUUAAGUAUCUCAUUUGAAUUAUCUAUUUCUAAUAAAUUAGUCUCUUGAGUAUUUAGACUCUCCCUUUCAUAUUGCUCCUUAAUAGCAGAUGAAGAUGAAUUGAUUGGAGGAGUAGAAUUAAUAGACAAGACAACCCGCCCUUUGGACGAUUUCAUUUAAAGCAGAAGAAGCGCCUGCUUCAUUUUCGCCCUCUUCUCUGCUCUAAGCGUCUGCUCCGCAUAUUAAGACUUCCUACUCCUCAUCUCUCAUCUUCUUCCUCUUCCAUGAUAUGAACUCCUUCGCUCUCUCAUUGACGUCGUUUUCCCCCUCGCCGGAGGACCGUUGAGGCUCCCCUGCCUCGCAACACUCCUCGGUGGGAUUACUAGGCUUUGAUUCUUCUCGCUCACAGGGUUUUUCAGGCUGCUUCACCGGCAGUGGGUAUGGCUUCUUUCUCCUACUUCUCUUUCCGUUGCAGACGAAGCAAUUGCCCAUCCAAGUCAAUGCUAGCUACCUACAAAGCUUUCCGGUGGCGUCCAGUUUCUCUGGCUGAGUGCAGAGUGCAGAGUGCAGAGUGCAGAGUGCAGAGUGCAGAGUGCAGAGUGCAGGACGGAGUAUUUAUAGUCGAGCGGGGAGGCGAAGUGAAUUGGAAGACGAAGCUGUGGAGGAAAAAUUAUAAUAUGAAUGAUGGAAAAGGGCGGUCGGGACGGUGGUGAUUCUGAGGACCGACGUCGGAGGAUGCCAUGGCUUUUCUGCUCUUGACUUGUUGACCAGUCAAUGGUCUGCUCGAGUCUGUCAUCCAUCUUGCGGAGAGAAGAAACCCUAGGCGGUGUGAUUUCCGAUCCUGUUCCUUGCUCGGCCGGCGUUUCCCCGUCGGUGUCGUCCUCUUCCUCCUCAAGACCUCACAGCGGAAGCUCCUCCCCUUGCUAGCUACGGCACAAGGUUAUAGCUUUUGCUUACUGAUACAAAGAUGGUUAAUGCAAUAAAGGGCCUCUUGAUUUCCUGUGAUAUCCCCAUGGCACAAUUUAUUAUCAACUACAAUGCUUCCCUGCCUCCUUCCCAGAAGUUCAUCUUACAUGUGCUUGACAAUACACACAUAUUUGUGCAGCCUAGCAUGGGUGAAAUGAUCCGAAGCAAGAUUGCUGAGUUUAGGGAUCAAAAUACCUACGAGAAGCCGGCAUGAUUCCCUUUCUGCUAUUUAGCAAGACAAUAAAUUGGGACAUGAAACUUAUAUGUGGAUCAGUCACUUGUAACUUCCGUCUAAUAUAAUGUUUUUUUUAUCUUGUUACUUUGAGUCAAAGUGCGACUAUUAGUAUGAGACAUACAACUGAACUAGCUUUUAGAUCACAACUUAGUAUUUCUUAUGUCAGUUCUGUUAUAUGAACAGUCUUAUAAACUCUAGUUUGGGGAAUUUACAGGAAGCAAUUCAAAAUUGCUGAAGUUUUAGUA